GUCUUCAAAGGAACCAAAUCAAAAAGAUGAUGGAGUUUUUAAGGCUCCUGCACCACCACUCAAAGUGAUAAAAACUGUGACAAUACCUACUCAGCCCUACCAAGAAAUAGUUACUGCACUGAAAUGCAGAAAAGAAGACAAAGAAGUAAGCAGCCAUAUACUGUUUCACUGCACGUGGAUAGAUUUCUAUGUGUAACAAUUAGCCUUUUGUCUUAAACAAAUAUCACUACAUUGCUAGCCACAUUUUGAACCACAAACGUACCUUAUUCUACUUGUCCAAUACUAGUGAUUCAAAAACAUUUUUUUUGUUGCCAUCGAAUGAGUGAUUUUAUAGGCAUUUUAUUAAAUAUAAUGAGCCUAUAGAUUUAAAUAUGCUAAAGUUACCAAGAGGCGGGCUUAUGUUUUUCUUGGCAGUUAUAUACUGUUGUUCAGCACGUGAAACACUUCAAUGAUGUGGUGGAAUUUGGUGAAAAUCAAGAGUUCACUGAUGACAUUGAAUACUUGUUAAGUGGCUUAAAGAGUACUCAGCCUCUAAACACACGUUGCCUUAGGUAAGAUCUUAAUUGUACUUUCUAUAAUGUUGUGCAUGCUAUGUCAUUAAGUUUUUCAACUGGAUGGGUUUAAAUUUGUUAAUAAAGCUAGGCAUGUAAAAAAUCUUGGUGUUGAUAAUUAGCCAUAUGCUUUUCAGUUUCCAGAUGCUACAAGAUUAAAUAAUAUAUACUAAGUAAUCUGAGAUGGGUUUUUUGUUUUUAAUCUCAGAAUUUAAGCCACUGACUGAUAGAUUGAUUUGAGUAGUGACGUGGGUCAUCUUUUAUAUAUGGUGAUAGAUUGAAUAUUGUAUACUUUUUGAGUUGGUUGUAUUAUCUAUGAUCAGUUGAAAUAUAUCCAAUAAAAUAUAACUACUUCUAGUUUUAAAAUAAUAGCAGUAUUAUGACUAUGAAAAGGAACUAGAAUUGGUGAUUGGAGAAAUACACUACAGAAACUGUGCUAAUCAUUUUUAUAAAUUUAUGCCCAUUCAUAAUCUAAGCCUUGGUACAUGUUUUAAAAUUUUGGUUUGCCCGUGGUUUUUAUAUUUUGUGUUGUCAAUAUUUUAAGCCUUCUACUUCUUUCUUGUUUGGAAUUAUGGAAACUACAGCUAAUGUCUUAGCAGUUUUUAGCUGCCUUAACAUAGUCUGUUUCCUUCUAGUGUUAUCAGCUUAGCUACUAAAUGUGCCAUGCCCAGUUUUCGGAUGCAUCUGAGGGCACAUGGGAUGGUUGCAAUGGUCUUUAAAACUUUGGAUGAUUCCCAGCAUCAUCAGGUAGGUAUUUUUUAAGUUUCUGGGGUUGAGAAGUAUUAUUAAAAAAAUUACAGUUUUUGUCUAUAUCAGAAAAUACUUUCACUAGACAUUCAUAUAAGUGAAUUAAAGGUUGAGUUUAUUUUAUUUGCUUGAUAAGUAGAGAUGAUAGCCAUACAUUUUUGCUUUAUAUAUCUCAUUUUCUUGAAGACGUUUUUCUUAAGAAAAGUUUGUUUAUAUUAAAAUACUAUUCAUUUGUCAGUUAGCAUAUUAUACUGAAUAUUUUAUACUAUAAAAUGAUUUCCUUUAUUCAGAAGUUUUAAAAUAUUGUUUGAUAGUAAUUGCAUAGAAAAGGGUUUUGAAUUACAGCCAUGGGGCUGGAGAGAUGGCUCAGUGGUUAAGAGUACUGACUGCUCUUCCAGAGGUCCUGAGUUCAAUUCCCAGCAACCACCUGGUGGCUCACAACCAUCUGUAAUGGGAUCGGUUGCUCUCUGCUAGUAUUCGGGUGUACAUGCAGAUAGAACACUCAUAUACAUUAAAUAAAUAUAAAUCAAUCUCUUUAAAAAAAUAUAGCCAUAACUUUAAAGUACUUAGCUCAUUGUUGGAUCCGGAAAAAAGCUGCAUUCUCAAAAGUAAUAAAUGGUAAAGAUUAACGAACCAAAGUUAAUUCUUAAUGUCACCAUAAGUUAGAAAAAAAUAGUCAUUACCAAACCUGACAGUGAUAUAUUGAGGUGGCCUUCUAUGAAAGGAAAUUACUUUCUAAAUACAAAUUGAGUGGCACAAAAUUAAUCUAAUACCAAUUCUUCUGAAACUAAAAGUUAUGAAAUUAAAGUGAGCGAACAUUCCUCUGUACCCAGGUUGUACUUGACACAGAAUAAUGAGGACAAUAAGGCACAAGGAAUGUGUUACUUGCUUUAUUGACUAGUUAGGUAUAGUCUUAAGAUAAAACUUUUUCUUAGUGACUUCUUAAGGUCUUAACUGUGACAUUCUAAUUUCCAGAAAUACACUUUAUAAACGUUUAAUCAGGGGGACUGAAAAGAUAAUUAAGCAAUAAAGAUCCUGAUUUGGUUUUUACCCAUGUAAGGGAGCUCACAACCACCUGUGACUCUAGCUCCAAGUUUCUGGUCUUUUUGAGCAAUUACACCUAUAUGGUGUGUGUGCAUAUUUCUCUCUCUCUCUCUCUCUCUCUCUCUCUCUCUCACACACACACACACACACCCUAAGUUUUAAGAGAAAAACAAAAAACAUUGUUUAGAGAGUCUGUAUUUUGGACAAUUCAAAGUCAAAAUCAGGUGGUUAAUUAUAUACAUUAUAUUGAUGAACAUAAUAAUACAGACUUACCUCAAAUGCUCACAUAUCCCAAAUGCACAGUAUUACACAGCCAUCCCUUGAUAUCAGUGGGAGACUGGUUCUAGGACAAUAUGACUAAAUAUUUAUGCAUUUCUAUAUCGCCUCCCUUACAAUGUAAUUUCUGGAUUAUCUUUAAUAAAAUUUAAAUGUUAUGUUAGUAGUUUUUAUAGUAUUUAAAAAAUAUCAGGAAGAGGUUUGUAUAUAUUAAAUACAAGUAUAAUCUCUAUGGUUGGAUGAAUUUUUUGGAUAUAGAGUGCAUUCUUAGGAUAUUUGUCUAUCAAAGACUGAUUGUGUUAACAUUAAUCUAAGACAUACCAUCUUGAGUAUUUUAAGCACAUUUUGUUAAUGUUUUAUUAAAAACAGUUACUAGGUUCUAGGAAUGUUGCUUAGUUUAUGUGCUUGCUUAAUGAACGUGAAGCCCUGGGUCUGACCCCUAGCAUGACAUAAAACCCGGUAUUAUGCAGGCCUGUAAUGCUAGCAUUUAGGAAAAGAGACCAGAGUACCAAAACUUCAAGGUUAUCCUCAACUACUACAUAAUGAGUUCAGGGCCAGCCUGAGUUAUAUGAGAUCUUGU
rnacentral:lncRNA from 1 species